rnacentral:rRNA from 1 species
UACGGAGGGUGCAAGCGUUAAUCGGAAUUACUGGGCGUAAAGCGUGCGUAGGUGGUUUGUUAAGUCAGAUGUGAAAGCCCCGGGCUCAACCUGGGAACUGCAUUUGAAACUGGCAAACUAGAGUAUAGGAGAGGAAAGUGGAAUUUCAGGUGUAGCGGUGAAAUGCGUAGAUAUCUGAAGGAACAUCAAUGGCGAAGGCAGCUUUCUGGACUAAUACUGACACUGAGGUACGAAAGCGUGGGUAGCAAACAGG